AAGGACAUUGCUCUAAGCGUUCUUGGUAUAUAAGCAGGACGUCCUUUAUAUUUUCAACAUUUAAUUGAAGUUAAAAGCCAAAGAAAUAUGAGAGUAUUUUUGGUCCUAGUUAUGGUUGCGGCCUUGGCGGCUGCUGCUUACGCCGUACCAGUUCUAGACGACGUCACCAAGACCGUCUCCGGCGUCGUACCCGUGAAGCUGUAACCGACCGAAAACCACGUCGACAACAUACCAGCAACUUGUUUUUAUUCACAAUUCGGAUAUACUACAAAUCGUAUAAAACAUAAAAACUAAGAAUUAGUUUUGGCAUCAAUACGGUACAGAAUAAACGUUAAAACGCAAAUGUCA
rnacentral:lncRNA from 1 species